UACGGAGGAUCCAAGCGUUAUCCGGAUUUAUUGGGUUUAAAGGGUGCGUAGGCGGCCUGUUAAGUCAGGGGUGAAAGACGGUAGCUCAACUAUCGCAGUGCCUUUGAUACUGACGGGCUUGAAUGUACUUGAGGUAGGCGGAAUGUGACAAGUAGCGGUGAAAUGCAUAGAUAUGUCACAGAACACCAAUUGCGAGGGCAGCUUACUAAGGUAUGAUUGACGCUGAGGCACGAAAGCGUGGGGAUCAAACAGG
rnacentral:rRNA from 1 species